GACGGAGGGUGCAAACGUUGUUCGGAAUCACUGGGCGUAAAGGGCGCGUAGGCGGACCUGUAAGUCGGGAGUGAAAACUCGGGGCUCAACUCCGAGCCUGCUUCUGAAACUGCAGGUCUUGAGGAUCGGAGAGGAGAGCGGAAUUCCUGGUGUAGCGGUGGAAUGCGUAGAUAUCAGGAAGAACACCGGCGGCGAAGGCGGCUCUCUGGACGAUUCCUGACGCUGAGGCGCGAAAGCUGGGGGAGCAAACAGG
rnacentral:rRNA from 1 species